GACGAACGCUGGCGGCGUGCCUAAUACAUGCAAGUUGAGCGCUGAAGGUUGGUACUUGUACCAACUGGAUGAGCAGCGAACGGGUGAGUAACGCGUGGGGAAUCUGCCUUUGAGCGGGGGACAACAUUUGGAAACGAAUGCUAAUACCGCAUAAAAACUUUAAACACAAGUUUUAAGUUUGAAAGAUGCAAUUGCAUCACUCAAAGAUGAUCCCGCGUUGUAUUAGCUAGUUGGUGAGGUAAAGGCUCACCAAGGCGAUGAUACAUAGCCGACCUGAGAGGGUGAUCGGCCACAUUGGGACUGAGACACGGCCCAAACUCCUACGGGAGGCAGCAGUAGGGAACCUUCGGCAAUGGACGAAAGUCUGACCGAGCAACGCCGCGUGAGUGAAGAAGGUUUUCGGAUCGUAAAACUCUGUUGGUAGAGAAGAACGUUGGUGAGAGUGGAAAGCUCAUCAAGUGACGGUAACUACCCAGAAAGGGACGGCUAACUACGU
rnacentral:rRNA from 1 species